CGACCGCRACCCCAGGUCAGGCGGGAUUACCCGCUGAGUUUAA
rnacentral:rRNA from 1 species